GUAUGGAAAGUUAUUGCAAGCAUGGAAAGAAGCAAAACCCCCACCAAAAACACCUGAAGAGGUUGCUAGGCUUAUUGUUGAGACCUUGAGCAGAGCUCAAUAUCAAAAGGUAGAUGUUGAGGUAUAAAAAAGCCAAUAGUAUCAAAAACAUUAGUUAUGUACUCUGUUAAUGCUAUUGCAGUGAUGCUUUUUGUGUUCUAAUUUACUUUUAGGGUUUAUUGGAAUUCUAUGGCCUUCCUCAUCCUUCUAAUUUAGCGGAAAUUUCUACUGGUGUCCCGACAAGAUUGCCUGAAUUUGUGCGAUUUCAAGGUGGGACAAGAUUGCCUGAAUUUGCACGAUUUCAAGGUGGGACAAGAUUGCCUGAAUUUGUGCAAUUUCAAAGUGGGACAACAUUGCCUGAAGAAGUGAAAUUUGAAAUGUUUACAUUACCAGUGAGGAUAUUAAAUGCCAUUUCAAUAUUGUUCAAGGGAGAUUGCUCUCUGGGCCAGUCUUGAAUCCUCAACGGUGAAGGUAUUGUAGUCGAGCUGUCUAGUCUUGAUUAUCCUCAAGUUUUAUCUUCUGUAAUUCGAGAAGAAACAAAUUAAAGAGAUUCACAAAGUUUAGGAAGUGUCUCGCCACCAAGAAAAUGUUUAGUAUUUAGCCGUCAAAUGCUAAACAUUUCCUUGGUGGGGAAAUGCUCCUAAGUUCUGUGAACUUUUGGGGCUCGCUUCAGGCUACAAGAGACAAAAACCCGGGGGUAAUCGAUAAUAGACAUUCUGAGUAUAAUACCUCAGCCGUUGAGGUCCGAAACUGGCCUAAAGAGCAACCUCCCCCUCAACAAGUAUACAUAUUGGAUUUGAUAAUUUCGAUGCUGUAAAACUUCUUUAACUUAAUCAGGUAGUGGGGAAGACAGUACCAGAUGGGGAUGGUUUAAAUGUGUAUGUGGAUACUGAUGAUCCUAGGGAGUCCUCAAACAUACCUGGAGACGUUCUUAUGGCUGCGGAUCAAAGAUCAGAAGCACGUGCGAUGAAAAACUAUGCCAUAGCCGAUGAACUUCACCAGAAGAUUAUUAAAUCAGGAUACCGGUUAGCUACAUUCAACUUGUCAAAUUUUUAGUACUACUGUGAUUUGAGAUUGUUAAUCGUUGUUUGUCUGCAGGGUCAUAGACUUUCAAAACGAAGAGAUUCUUGCUCGAAAGUAUCGGAUUCGACUGAGGUAACAUUAUCUGUUUGAAGGACUUUUAUGUUCUAUAUUGUAACUUGUUGAAAGCAUAUAUACAGGGGUAUAGAUGCACUUGAGAUGUUGAUGCCGUUCGGAGAAAAAGCAAAACAAGAGUUGGUUAAGCUUGUUGAUGGGAAAUGUUUGAGAGUGCUUGUCUACGGGGAAGAUCAAUACGGUCGUUGUGUUGCAGACGUAUAUUGCAAUCACAUUUUCGUGCAGGUAGAUACCCUUUUCGUAAGCUUCAAUUCGGUUUACCCGAUAAGAACGAUUAAUCCGCAAAUCUGUUACUUGAACAGGAAGUAAUGCUAAAGAAAGGACUCGCAUGGCAUUAUGUAACCUACGACCAACGGGAUGAAUUCGUAGACGUAAGUAAACAACAAUCCUGUAUGUUCUUGCACAUCGUUGAGUUAAAACUUGUGACUAUUGUCUUUGUAUGUAUGUAAUAUCAGUGGCAAAAAGAGGCUCGGGCAAAGAAAACUGGCCUUUGGGAACAAUCAAACCCGGAGAAGCCAUGGGAAUGGAGGAAGAAGAACAAACGAGAAGGUAGGUAACACUGUCCUUAAGGAUCCAUAACAUCUUGAGAAGUAAUAAAAGUACACAAUUAUCAUAUUUGUGUAAAGGACCAUGUUCGAUCCAUUCCUAUAUCUCUUGUUUGUAUGCCAUGCUUAUUAUUAUCAAAUGAUUGUCAAACAUAUAUAUAUAUAUACAUUACUUUUGAAACAUGGAUGUGCUCCUAAAUUGAUCUCUAAGGAGAGCAUUGUACCAUAAUAUGGCGUGCUAGCUCCACUCAAACAUAUGGACUCCAUUUAACAAAGACAUAACAUCAUAUUCAUGUCCGCCAAAUCAAAACAUCUUCAUGUAGGACCAGAGUUCUAUUCAAAAUUUCCAAGCACAGAUUUGCAUAAAGAUCUGUUCAGCAUGCAAAAUCCCCAACGAUGCAAUCCAUAAAAUACCAAAAUCCGUGAACAGGAAAAAGAAAGUAUAUUCCAUUAAAUGAAACUCCUUUACAUAAACAAAUCAGUCAUAACAAUCUAUGAUCUCAGUGGCAUAUACAGCAACACUUGAAAGAACAAAAGAUGAUAAAAAACAAAUGAUCAUCAAAGGAUACACAAAAGGAACAAAAAAUAAUCAAGUGAGAGUGUGAAAAGAACAGAAACCACAUCUCUAUUUGGCAAAAUAAAAGCAGCAAGUGAAGAAGCAUCAUGACCCACAACACCGCAAAAGCAAUUAUUGUUCAGUAUCUAUCAAAGAAAGGAUGAAUUAAUAAAGGAAUACAGGUUAUAUACCUUAAUUUGCAUCAUCCUUCAAUUCAUUAGAAUCAGAGCCACUAGCAUCUUAAUCGGGGAAACUUUAGUAUGAAAUUAUUUUGAAACAAGUCUUAAAGGGUAGGUUUGGAUGGGUAAUAUGGUAGGUUUGGUUUAUUUUUUAUGCUACGCUAGAAUAUCGUUAUAAUAUCUAAUUUCAUCAUCACCGUUGUUUUUAUACUAAUUGCAGAUAAAUGUACCGCUCAUCCAAACUCACCCUUAAAAUUAACUUGAUUCAUAAAUUAUUUUAUAUGGUGGUGGUCUGAAUGGAUUCUUACCUUUUAAUCUAUAGUUUGAUUAAGAUGAGUUAGUUACAUAACAUUAGCUAUGGAGGUUAAAUGAUUUUUUUAUUCUUUUUAUUUUUGAUAUUGAGUAAAUUAGUCCCUCUAACAAAUUAAAGCAAUUUAAUUCUUAUCAAUUUUGAACGUGAGCAACUGAAGACAAUUAAUCACAAUAGUAUAAUUUUUUUUGUCGAUUGUAUAUAUUUUUAAUUAGUAUAAUAAUAAAUUUAACUCUUAAAAUUUGCACAUUAUGCCAAUUUCAUCUUGAUUUAAUAAAUUUGUCGUAAAAUUUACAUAUUCUUAUCAAUUUGAUUAAUGAUUUAAGAAAUUUAGCUUGUAAUAUUUAUACAUUUUGACAACAUUUAUAAUUUAAAAAUUGUGUAAAAAAUUUAACACGAUGAUUAAUUGUAUUUAAUAGUUUUUUUUCGAAAUUAACAAUGAUUAAAUUCCUCUAAUUUUGUUAAGAAUAUCAGCAUUUGGAGAGAUGUUUUUUUUGUCUACUGUAUUUGCUUGAAUAUUAAAAUUUUCACUAAGCUGCAAUUAAACAGGUAAAAGACGACAGAUAGAAAAUAGCCAUAAUCAAUGUCCGUUGCUUACAACCUACGGCAAGGAUAAAAACCCCCCGUUGACUGUGAAGUUUAGCUUCAAUUAGUUCUUAGAUUUCAUCCAAAAUUUCAUCAUCCACCAAUCACAACUCGCCACGUGUGUGUCUCCUUUGUUUGUUAAUCAACUUCUUAAAGCUAUCAUCAGAAUUCAGAUUCCUUGCUUCCACUUAGAAUGUUACUUCUAACACCUUCAAAACCAUACAACUUUUUGUCUUGUUUCUUGUUUUUGAGCUUCAUUUUACCCUUGAUUCUUGGUUUCUUCUGUCUUCCAAGAGAGGAUUUGAAAAUGGGGAAUGCUCUAACUUUGCUGUACGCCCAUUUCUGCAAACCAACAACCACCGCCGGAGACGCUGGAUCCUUUGGCUCCCACGGUGGCUCAUCGGCCGACGGUGGCGUUUCAGCUCUUGCUCAUGAUAUCUUCCAGUUUGAACUCACUUCACAGGUAGUUAAGUUUCCUUUACCAUUACUGCUCUAAUUCUGUCAUGUUUUGCUUAUAUUUUUUUAUCAAAUUAUGGUUUUGGUUUAAGAUGUUGUAUUCUAAUGAUGUUAUUAGUUAUUAUAAAGUUAGCAUAGCUAAGUCUUUUAGUUCAAACGAUAAUGAAAUAUAGUCAAUAGUAGUAUUGUCCAUGGGUUAAGCUAGAUCAACUACUUUUAUUUCUCGGAUUAGUUAGAAUUCAAUUCUAAUAAUUUAAAAAAAAAACUUUUAAAUUUACAUUUACAUUUAAUUUUGAUUUUAAUUUUAAUUUUUUUUUAAAAUUUUUGAACAAUAAAAUGAGUUGAGUUGGAUCGACUCAAAAAUAGUCUAGACUUGAAUUUUUAAUCGGCCCAACUUGACUAGUAGAUAAAUCUAAGUCAUUAGAAAAGGUUUUUUUUUGUGUGUGUGUUUAAAUACUAUUGUUUUAAUUGAAAUAAUUUACGGUGUAAUUAUUUGAAAUAGUUAAAUGACAUAAAUAUAGGGAUUAUGUCUUGAACUUAAGCAUAGUAAAGGUCAGGGGCGAAGCCAUAACAAUUUUUUAGGGGCGGAUUAAAUUUUAAUUUUUUAUAAUUUAUAUCUUUAUAAUUUUAAAAGGAUUAAAUCAAAUUUUUAUAAUUUUAGGGGGGUUAAAAGUGAAAUUUUAUCUUUACUAAUUUAAUUUUUUUAAAAUUAAGGGCCUAAAUAAUAAUUUUAUAUUUUAGGGGGGUCGGAGCCCCUGACAGCCCCUUAGAUUCACCUCAGGUAAAGGUACUAAACUCAUAAUUUAGCCAUUUUAUCAACUUGCAUUAAAUUUUAAAUUUUAAAAAAAUAUAUUUUGGUUUACUAAUUGAAUUUUAGUUCGAUUGGUAUAGGCAUUGUUGUUAAUGUAGGAGAAUGUGGAUUCAAGUGCGAUGAAGCAUAUUAUUUUCCUAUUUACGGGUUGAGAAGGAAUUAUAAUUAGUUUUAAAUCUUUCAAAAAGAGCAAAUCUAAUAAGAGAUUUUAAAAAUAAAAAUAAUUUGGUUUAAUUUUAAUCAUGAUUUUGAUUGUAUUGCCCAACCUAUUUUAGGUUCCUGAAGGGCUAAGCAACCAUGUGGUUUCAUCCAAGAAAGCUCAGGCCAACUGGUAAUAAUUUAUUAAUUAAUUAAUUUUAUAAUCUCAACUAAGAUGAUAUUUUUUUCCCUUAAUUUUGUAAGGUAUAGAAAGCUAUUAGAUGCUUGGAGUGAAGCAAAACCUCCACCAAAAACAUCCGAGGAAGCUUCAAAGUUUGUUGCUGACAAUUUAAAGGAACAUCAAAAGGCAGAUGUUGAGGUAAUAAAGAACAUAGAUCUUAAAACAUAAUUGACAUUUGCCACAAUUUUUGUUAGAAUUUAAGAAAAACAGGACAUUAAUGCAUUGUAGAUAUGUUUUGUAGGGACUUUUGGCAUUUUAUGGUCUGCCUCUCCCUCAGACACCUGGCCAGUCUUCUGCUAACUCCCAAACAUCAUUGCCUCAAGGAGUUAAGUUCGAGUUCCAGACUUUACCGGUAAGGACGCUUCGAUCCAGCCCCAAACUUCAUGUUUUCAUUCAGUUAACGGUUUGAACCGAUUGAAUUAGGUGGAUAUGAAAGCAAUACCAGAUGGAGAUACCAUAACUGUGUAUGUAAGUACUACUGAACCCUGGGAAUCAUCCAACAUACCUAAGGACGUACGAGUAGCAGCUGCUCAAAGAUCGAAAGCAUGUGCCGACAAGAAUUAUACUAAGGCAGAUGCACUUCAGAAGAAAAUUACUAUUUCAGGAUACAGGUAUUAAGCUAUCAAAUCUUCUCAUAUACGAUAAAUGCCCGUUCGGGAUCGGUUUCUAACAGCCCUAGCUUGUUGCUAUAGGGUGUUGAAUGUUCGGAACCAGGAGAUUCUUGCUCGAAAAUACCGAAUCCGGCUAAGGUAACACAUUUAUUUGUUUAAUGUUCAAUGUUCAAUGUUUUAUCAGCUAAAUGUCAAUCUAAAAUGUGGGAUAGGGGUAUAGAUGCACCAGAGAGCUCAAUGCCAUACGGUAAAGAAGCGAAAGAAGAGUUGGUUAAGCUUGUUGGUGGGAAAUGCUUACGAGUUCUCGUCUAUGGGGAAGAUCGAUACGGCCGUUGCGUCGGAGAUAUAUAUUGCAAUGGAAAAUUCGUACAGGAAAUUAUGUUGAAAAAGGGGCUUGCAUGGCAUUACUCUGCUUAUGACCAACGUAUAGAACUAGCAACUGUGAGUAACCAACAGAUCGAUUCUCCAUUCCUGCACUUGUUUCAAUCAAAACUUGAAAAAACUGUCAAAUUCUAAAUGCUAUGUACUUGUAUGAAAUUAGUGGGAAAAGGAGGCUCGAGCGAAGCGGGUCGGUUUAUGGGCUUUACCGAAUCCAGAGAAGCCAUGGGAAUGGAGAAAGGACAAACGACAAAGCAGAUGACAACGUCUAAUACCUUGAAUGAACCACAUUUGACAUGUACAUGAAGGAAUAUGGGUGCCCUAUAACUUGUACACAAGACCAGGGGAAUCUACAAACCAUUUGACCAUGGUCAAUUUGAUGUUUUAUUCUGAUUUUAGAAAGUGUCAGUAACAUGUAACAUUUGUUCAAACAAUUAAAUCAAGUAUUGUAACAUAUAUAUUUUAUCAAUUUGAUUCUUGUAAAAAUUUAUAGAACUCUUACCGCAUCAGUUAUCGAAAUGUACUUGAUAAUAUUUAUUAGUUUAAAGCAUCAAAAGGCAACUCUUGUGUCAUUAAAACAUGUAUAUCAACCGAAAAAUUUAGGGUAAAAUUUUUUAUUAUUAUAAGUCACAUUAUAUUUCAUCUCCUUUAGUAAAAAAAUUAAACAAAUUAGACCCUAAAUAUUAGAUUAAAGAAUAAAUUGAUUUUUUUUAUUAAACUAUACAUUAAUAAAAUGAGACUAAUUUACAAUUUUUUUAUUAAAAAAAUAUAAAAUACAAUCUAACUUUUAAUUAACCUAAAAUCUAUGAUGAUGAUGAUGUAAGAGCUUUGAGGUGACGAGAUACUAUGAAUUUUUUUGAGUAAAGGUCAGUAGUACCAAUAGGAAUCUGCAAACGAAAUUCAUUGGAAGCGCCUUUGACCAUAAAAAAAAAAAGCCCACUAUAAGUCUUUCUCCAUCCUUGCUUUUCUUCCAGCUUUCUCUUACCCCAGUCCUCAAUAUCUCCUCUGUAGUGCUUCAGCAAAUGUUUUGGAAGCUAGGAUUUUUCAAGAUGGGAAACGCUCUCAGGCUCCUAUAUGGGAAAUGUUUUCAGCCCUCCACCACUGGGGAUUCUGAUUCAGUAGGGCCACCUUAUACCACUACAGCUCCUGCGGUUUCAGCUCUUGCCCAUGAUCUCUUCAACUUUGAAAUCACAUCCCAGGUAAUGAUUAUUUCUGUGUGUUCUCUUUGUUGAUCUUUUUGAGCUGAACAAAGCUUAUCUGUUUGUUUAAAAUUGGAAACUGGUUUCUUCAAGGUCCCUGAAGCUCUCAGUCAGCAUGUUGUAUCAUCAAGGGAGGCUCAAGUCACAUGGUAACUAACAUAUGUGAUGAUGAUGAUGAUAAUGACGAUGAUGGUCAACACCAUCUGGUUGACUUUUUUUGGUCUGUUUUACAUUAAGGUAUGGAAAGUUAUUGCAAUCAUGGAAAGAAGCAAAACCCCCACCAAAAACACCUGAAGAGGUUGCUAGGCUUAUUGUUGAGACCUUGAGCAGACAUCAAAAGGCAGAUGUUGAGGUAUAAAAAAGGCCAAUAGCAUCAAAAACAUUAGUUAUGUACUGCUGUUAAUGCUAUUGCAGUGAUGUUUUUUGUGUUCUAAUUUACUUUUAGGGUUUAUUGGAAU
rnacentral:lncRNA from 1 species